UCUCCGUAGGUGAACCUGCGGAGGGAUCAUUACAGAGUUCUCGCCCUCACGGGUAGAUCCCCCACCCACUGUUAUCGUUACUGUCGUUUCUUUGGCGGGCCGCCGGGUCCCCGGCCGCCGGCGCCUAGCUGCCGGCGCGCGCCCGCCAGAGGCCUUCAAACUCUGAAUGUUAAUGUCGUCUGAGUACUAUAUAAUAGUUAAAACUUUCAACAACGGAUCUCUUGGUUCUG
rnacentral:misc_RNA from 1 species